UUCUUUUCAAAAGAAUAAACCUAAUUACAAAAACCGAGAAAUCAAUUUCUUCUUCUUCAAAUCGAUUUGCAGAAACUCGGGCGUUCGUUCAGUUCGUCGGUAGCUACAUCCUAUUUUCGCUUAAAUACUCAAUUUCACACGCAUAAAACCUAAUUCCACAUAGCCACAGAAAACUCCUAAAAUCAAUUUGUUCUUCUUCAAACCGAUUUGCUGAGAUUCUUGAGGAGAUACGACCACGAGGGCUCUUCAAACUGAUUCUUUGAAAUUCUUGAGGAUAUACGGCGACGAGGGCUGGAGCACCAGAGGACAAUUACCAAACAAGAGUUUUAGUAAAGAUAAAGGAUUUAGCCUGUUUUAUCAAAUCAAUGCCGUUAAAACUAGAUGGGCUGCUAAAAUAUUUUUGCAACUCAGUCAAGAGAAUCUGAUCUGGAUAAUUUAACUUGGAAUCGUUGGUGAUAUUGAGGCCACUUUCUUGAACGGUAAGCACCUAUUUCACCCUGUAAUUGGUUAUUUAUAUACUAAUGUGCUGCAAACGUUAUUCUUUUAUCAUUUUUGACCCAAAUUUGUAUUGGUUUUGGUUUUAGACCUGUUUUUGUUAUGGUAAUUUGUUGUUGUUGUUGGUUAAGUUGAUAAUUGUGUAUCUUAUUUUCAGCUGGUUCUCUUAAACACUCA